UUCAUUAUCACAUCAUUAUGACUAUGUUAAGUACUUCAUUAUAGUUUUUACUUAACUGAACUGCCAGGCAUAUGUAUGUGUGUGCCAAGGUGCACCUAUACAUAAGCAAUGGCUACCUGAAAUAAAUCAAAAUGCUUCUGGUUUUUUACAAUCCUUUUACUACCCAAAACAAUUAAUUCCUCAAGCAAGUAAUUCAGGAAAGGGUUCAGAAAAAAGGAACUUCGGUUUUAGGUAAACAGUGUAAAAUGCAGGGGUAUAGGCAGAAUAAUUAAUUUGUCAUUAUCAUCAUCAUUAUCCCCAUAUCAAAUUUUGUUCCAUAAAACAAGAGUCUAAAAAUUAGUUUAUAUUUGUUUAGACAGACCUUACAAACAACCAACUUUAUUUCAGACAUAUAUACAAUUUAAGAAAAAUACCCUAUGAAGAUAAUAUGGAGAAAACAUUAAAAAACCCAAUUCAAAGAAUUAAAAUAUUGUUAUAGCAAAGAAAAAAAGGUUGAAAGCACACAGAAAAGAAAACUAUCUAGCUCAAUCUUUUGACUUUUAUUUAGUUGGGCUUUAGAGCUUGUGGGAUAGAGAAUACUUCAAAUAUAGUAAUUCCCUUUAUCUGCUGUUUCACUUUCUAUGGUUUCAGGUACCAGUAGUCAACCAUGAUCCAGAAGCAGAUGAUCCUCCUUCUAAAAUACUGUCAAAAGGCCAACAGUACCCUAACACUGUAUCACAAUGCCUAUACAUCAUUCACCUUGCUUCAUCUCAUCACACAGCCAUUUUAUAAUCUCACACCAUCACAGGAAGACAAAGGAUAUUAUGUUCAUCAUAAUAGUACAAUCCAAGUACCAUCCAUCACUCCCAGGUGGAAGAGCUGCUGAAACUACCAGGAAGGCAAGCAGUAACCGGAGGCUGAGACUGACAAGAGUCCUGGGCUCUGCCAGGUUUCAGGACUAAGAACUGCCCGAAGACUUUCUUUUCUGGAGAAGAAGGAACCACGAUAGAAAGUCAUGGGGCAAGGAUGCCAACAUCAAGUUCCUGAGAAAAACUAGAUUUUCAGAAAGGAAGGAACUCACUCACAUGCCUAUUCCUGGUGUCCUUGACAAACCUCAGAUUGAGAAUGAUCAAAGGAAAAAAAUGAAACAAGACAGCACAAUUAUACAUCACCAAACCAUGCAGACAAGAACAAAAGCUUAGGAAAUAAUGAAGCCACAAGAUGAAGCUGGCCUAGUGAAUAACCUUUAUGGAACAAACUGAUACCAUUUUAAGCCAGCAGGACUUUGGCUUAUGAGAAAUAAACUUGCCUAUUUCUGCCAC